AUUGAACGCUGGCGGCAGGCCUAACACAUGCAAGUCGAGCGGAUGAAGGGGGCUUGCUCCUGGAUUCAGCGGCGGACGGGUGAGUAAUGCCUAGGAAUCUGCCUGGUAGUGGGGGAUAACGUCCGGAAACGGGCGCUAAUACCGCAUACGUCCUGAGGGAGAAAGUGGGGGAUCUUCGGACCUCACGCUAUCAGAUGAGCCUAGGUCGGAUUAGCUAGUUGGUGGGGUGAAGGCCUACCAAGGCGACGAUCCGUAACUGGUCUGAGAGGAUGAUCAGUCACACUGGCAGUGAGACAGGGUCCAGACUCCUACGGGAGGCAGCAGUGGGGACUAUUGGACAAUGGGCGAAAGCCUGAUCCAGCCAUGCCGCGUGUGUGAAGAAGGUCUUCGGAUGGUAAAGCACUUUAAGUUGGGAGGAAGGGAAGUAAGUUAAUAGCUUGAUGUUUUGACGUUACCAACAGAAUAAGCAACGGCUAACUUCGUG
rnacentral:rRNA from 1 species